rnacentral:rRNA from 1 species
GACGAACGCUGGCGGCGUGCCUAAUACAUGCAAGUAGAACGCUGAAGGAGGAGCUUGCUUCUCUGGAUGAGUUGCGAACGGGUGAGUAACGCGUAGGUAACCUGCCUGGUAGCGGGGGAUAACUAUUGGAAACGAUAGCUAAUACCGCAUAACAGUAGAUAUCGCAUGAUAUCUACUUGAAAGGUGCAAUUGCAUCACUACCAGAUGGACCUGCGUUGUAUUAGCUAGUUGGUGAGGUAACGGCUCACCAAGGCGACGAUACAUAGCCGACCUGAGAGGGUGAUCGGCCACACUGGGACUGAGACACGGCCCAGACUCCUACGGGAGGCAGCAGUAGGGAAUCUUCGGCAAUGGACGGAAGUCUGACCGAGCAACGCCGCGUGAGUGAAGAAGGUUUUCGGAUCGUAAAGCUCUGUUGUAAGAGAAGAACGAGUGUGAGAGUGGAAAGUUCACACUGUGACGGUAUCUUACCAGAAAGGGACAGCUAACUACGUG